rnacentral:rRNA from 1 species
CACGUAGGGGACGAGCGUUGUCCGGAUUCAUUGGGCGUAAAGCGCGCGUAGGCGGCUUUGUAAGUUAGAGGUGAAAGCCCGGGGCUCAACUCCGGAAUUGCCUUUAAGACUGCAUCGCUAGAAUUGUGGAGAGGUAAGUGGAAUUCCGAGUGUAGAGGUGAAAUUCGUAGAUAUUCGGAAGAACACCAGUGGCGAAGGCGACUUACUGGACACAUAUUGACGCUGAGGUGCGAAAGCGUGGGGAGCAAACAGG